UGGAAAAUGUGUUGUGACGCCCGGAUAAUUAGACUACAGUAAUUCCCUGCUAUUGAUGCCACGUCACCUCUGACACUGUAGUUAAUCCCUUUCGUUAGUUCAAAAAACCAAUUCAAAUUCAAAAUUUAAAUAAAAGUAAACAACAAAAGUUUUCAGAUGUUAAAACUAAAAUGUUCGGAUCGUGACAAAUAUUGCGUAGGUAGUUAUGGGGAAGAAACAACAUUUUUAUAAAAAGUUUAAAUGCACUUAAAUGAUUAAAACAGUAGGUAAAACUAUUAAAUAAAUGCCUUUGAUAUUUUAUAAAAUCAUAAACUAUUUUAUCUUGAGGUAAAACUUUUUAGGGUAGUGGGUUGUUUUGGAACACUAAUUUGGAGCUAUUGUCAUAUUUUACUAAACUAAGAAUAAAGUGUAACUAAAA